GUUCCUCAUGCGUCCAGUAGGGGGAGGCAGUAUAUUAGUAUAUGAGCCCAGUCAUUUAUAAGAACAGCAGACCAUAUCUAUAUGUAUGAUAGCAGCAGACCUUCUUGAAGCGAUAUGGAUGAGAUCAGGAGAGAAUUGAUGUUAUCUACACUCAGAUGACUUCAAUUUUGGAUGGCACACCUACACACACCCACAGUGACCAGAUCCGAUUCAUUAUGGAUGUCCCUUUUCCAGAGUCCAUCAUCUGUGCUCUUGCUGUUUUGAAACGUGUCUAUCUUGGAGGCUGAGGAGAAAUUCCUUCGAGGACCUGUCAUUGACGCAAGUGAAUGGGAUCACUUUGACCGCAGGAUAAAGAAACAAUUAAAGAAGAGUGGCAAGCCAUUGGAGAGUCAUCUACAGGAGUCAUGCUGUUAAGAAAUAACCAAGUCAUGGUGUUAAAUAAUUUUUUUCAAUUCAAACAAUAUUGUCUUUCUUUUAAAUGACCCUUGGAACUUUAGAAAAUGGUUAAAUUUUGUUGGUCUUCAUAAAAUGCUAUGUAGAACAUGUUCUGUUGCUGUAUAACGAGCAAUUGUGAAUUAUAAAGCAAAUAUUUCAUUUAGGAUCCAUAUGAUUACACAGUACUGUAUGUCUAAUGGCCUGAAUAUGGUUAAUAUCUAAAUAUAACUUAAUAUAAAUUCACAACAUCAUAUAUCAGUCAGUCUCUGUAUAUAAAAACAGUUUAUAAAUAUAUAUAAAUAAUACAUUUUACAGUAGGUCAUAGGUCUGCAGCCUCCCCCUACUGGACGCAUGAGGAACAACAGGGGCGUUAAACUGCUUGGGGCGUAUAUCUACUGGCUCAGUAGCUCUUCUGAUUGGCUGAAAUUCUGUAAUCUCUAAACAGUCCCGCCCACUACCUCUACAGAUGCACAAAUCACUUUUGAACCAAAUAUCUCGGUGCAAAAGGGAGAGCGCGAAACUUGUCGCUUGAAAGCGAAAAACAGUGUUUGAGAUUCAUCGCAGCAGAUUCAAGCAGCUGUAG